rnacentral:tRNA from 1 species
UCCCUGAUAGCUCAGUUGGUAAAGAAUCUGCCUGCAAUGCAGGAGACCCUGGUUUGAUUCCCGGGUCGGGAA